UAAGCGUGUAGGCUGAUUUUCCAGGCAAAUCCGGAAAAUCAAGGCUGAGGCGUGAUGACGAGGCACUACGGUGCUGAAGCAACAAAUGCCCUGCUUCCAGGAAAAGCCUCUAAGCAUCAGGUAACAUCAAAUCGUACCCCAAACCGACACAGGUGGUCAGGUAGAGAAUACCAAGGCGCUUGAGAGAACUCGGGUGAAGGAACUAGGCAAAAUGGUGCCGUAACUUCGGGAGAAGGCACGCUGAUAUGUAGGUGAAGUCCCUCGCGGAUGGAGCUGAAAUCAGUCGAAGAUACCAGCUGGCUGCAACUGUUUAUUAAAAACACAGCACUGUGCAAACACGAAAGUGGACGUAUACGGUGUGACGCCUGCCCGGUGCCGGAAGGUUAAUUGAUGGGGUCAGCGCAAGCGAAGCUCUUGAUCGAAGCCCCGGUAAACGGCGGCCGUAACUAUAACGGUCCUAAGGUAGCGAAAUUCCUUGUCGGGUAAGUUCCGACCUGCACGAAUGGCGUAAUGAUGGCCAGGCUGUCUCCACCCGAGACUCAGUGAAAUUGAACUCGCUGUGAAGAUGCAGUGUACCCGCGGCAAGACGGAAAGACCCCGUGAACCUUUACUAUAGCUUGACACUGAACAUUGAGCCUUGAUGUGUAGGAUAGGUGGGAGGCUUUGAAGUGUGGACGCCAGUCUGCAUGGAGCCGGCCUUGAAAUACCACCCUUUAAUGUUUGAUGUUCUAACGUGGACCCGUAAUCCGGGUUGCGGACAGUGUCUGGUGGGUAGUUUGACUGGGGCGGUCUCCUCCUAAAGAGUAACGGAGGAGCACGAAGGUUGGCUAAUCCUGGUCGGACAUCAGGAGGUUAGUGCAAUGGCAUAAGCCAGCUUGACUGCGAGCGUGACGGCGCGAGCAGGUGCGAAAGCAGGUCAUAGUGAUCCGGUGGUUCUGAAUGGAAGGGCCAUCGCUCAACGGAUAAAAGGUACUCCGGGGAUAACAGGCUGAUACCGCCCAAGAGUUCAUAUCGACGGCGGUGUUUGGCACCUCGAUGUCGGCUCAUCACAUCCUGGGGCUGAAGUAGGUCCCAAGGGUAUGGCUGUUCGCCAUUUAAAGUGGUACGCGAGCUGGGUUUAGAACGUCGUGAGACAGUUCGGUCCCUAUCUGCCGUGGGCGCUGGAGAACUGAGGGGGGCUGCUCCUAGUACGAGAGGACCGGAGUGGACGCAUCACUGGUGUUCGGGUUGUCAUGCCAAUGGCACUGCCCGGUAGCUAAAUGCGGAAGAGAUAAGUGCUGAAAGCAUCUAAGCACGAAACUUGCCCCGAGAUGAGUUCUCCCUGACCCUUUAAGGGUCCUGAAGGAACGUUGAAGACGACGACGUUGAUAGGCCGGGUGUGUAAGCGCAGCGAUGCGUUGAGCUAACCGGUACUAAUGAACCGUGAGGCUUAACCUUACAACGCCGAAG
rnacentral:rRNA from 1 species